rnacentral:lncRNA from 1 species
CUUUUACGUCGGCCUUCGCGAGCGUCUGGGCGGGUGGUAGGAACAAUGGCGCUGUCUUCAGUGGCACAGUGGAGCAGCUCUGAAGAUGCAAAGAUACACGAAAAAACUUCCAGAACAUCUGGGAGAAUAUUUAAUGGAAAAUCGCUUGGUUAAAACCUGACACUUUUAACAGCGUUCUGAGUGUGGACGAGUAGCCAGUGAAGAUAAUGAAUGUCGAAUGUGACUGACUAGCAGCUUCAUUUUGAAGUAGGGUCGCUGUCUGCCCAUUGAUAGAGGCCAGAUUGUCUUGGAAGUUCC